rnacentral:snRNA from 1 species
ACGCUUCGGCAGCACAUAUACUAAAAUUGGAAUGAUGCAGAGAAGAUUAGCAUGGCCCCUGCGCAAAGAUGACAUGCAAAUUCGUGAAGUGUUCCAUGUUUUU